rnacentral:rRNA from 1 species
UACGUAGGGGGCAAGCGUUGUCCGGAAUCAUUGGGCGUAAAGAGCGUGUAGGCGGCUCGGUAAGUCCGCUCUGAAAGCCCGGGGCUCAACCCCGGGAGGCGGGCGGAUACUGUCGGGCUAGAGUCUGGAAGAGGCGAGUGGAAUUCCUGGUGUAGCGGUGAAAUGCGCAGAUAUCAGGAGGAACACCGGUGGCGAAGGCGGGUCUCUGGGCAGUAACUGACGCUGAGGAGCGAAAGCGUGGGGAGCGAACAGG